rnacentral:rRNA from 1 species
GGCUACCACUUCCAAGGAAGGCAGCAGGCGCGUAAAUUAUCCAAUCCCGAUUCGGGGAGAUAGUGACAAGAAAUACCGAUGUAGGGCCUUUUGGGUUCUACUAUCGGAAUGAGUACAACUUAAAACCAUUAGCGAGGAACAAUUGGAGGGCAAGUCUGGUGCCAGCAGCCGCGGUAAUUCCAGCUCCAAUAGCGUAUAUUAAAGUUGCUGCAGUUAAAAAGCUCGUAGUUGAAUUUCUGGUACGAUGUGCCUGGUCCACGGUCGCAAGGCCGCGCGUAUCGGAGUACGUCUGCCAUCCUUCUAGUUAACUGGCUAUACUUAACUGUGUGGUCAGCAACCUAGAUCUUUUACUUUGAAAAAAUUAGAGUGUUUAAAGCAGGCUCGCGCUGUGAAUACAUUAGCAUGGAAUAAUAAUUUAGGACUUUGCUUCUAUUUUAUUGGUUUCUAGGGGUAAAGUAAUGAUUGAUAGGGAUAGUUGGGGGUGCUAGUAUUCAUCGGCCAGAGGUGAAAUUCUUGGAUUCGAUGAAGACUAACUUAUGCGAAAGCAUUCACCAAGGAUGUCUUCUUUAAUCAAGAACGAAAGUUGGGGGAUCGAAGACGAUCAGAUACCGUCGUAGUCUCAACCAUAAGCUAUACCGACUAGGGAUUAGUGGAAGUUGCUAUAUCGACUCCAUUAGCACCUUAUGAGAAAUCAGAAGUCUUUGGGUUCUGGGGGGAGUAUGGUCGCAAGGCUGAAACUUAAAGGAAUUGACGGAAGGGCACCACCAGGAGUGGAGCCUGCGGCUUAAUUUGACUCAACACGGGAAAACUUACCAAGUCCAGACAUAAGAAGGAUUGACAGAUUGAGAGCUCUUUCUUGAUUCUAUGGGUGGUGGUGCAUGGCCGUUCUUAGUUGGUGGAGUGAUUUGUCUGGUUAAUUCCGUUAACGAACGAGACCUCAGCCUGCUAACUAGUUACGCUGGUCGUCUACUCGAGUGAACUGCCUGUAGCGGCAGGGUUUACUCCUUGUCGCAUCGGGUGGGGAUCUUUGAUGUGCCGGUGGAAAUACUUCUUAGAGGGACUAUUUGUAUCUAGCAAAUGGAAGUUUGAGGCAAUAACAGGUCUGUGAUGCCCUUAGAUGUUUUGGGAUGCACGCGCGCUACAAUGAUGAAGUCAACGAGUCUAACACCUUGGCCGGAAGGUCUGGGUAAUCUUUUGAAACUUCAUCGUAAUGGGGAUUGAUCUUUGUAAUUAUCGAUCAUUAACGAGGAAUUCCUAGUAAGCGUGGUUCAUCAAACCACGUUGAUUUCGUCCCUGCCCUUUGUACACACCGCCCGUCGCUCCUACCGAUUGAAUGAUCCGGUGAAAUCUCCGGAUUGGGGGGUCCAACUGUCGGGGCAACUCGGCAGUAACUCACCGAGAAGCUGAUUAAACCUUAUCAUUUAGAGGAAGGAGAAGUCGUAACAAGGUU